rnacentral:lncRNA from 1 species
AUGAUGAGACUGGGGCUCAAAGAGAUGACAAAAUCAGUAGCUGAGAAACCCAGGGCCCCAUUUCUCAGCUUAAUGUUAUUUCUACUCCUUCUGCAGCCUGCUGUGGGUGUGCUUCAUCUGGGCCCAUUGUGUCCUGAGGGCUUCUGCUCUGGGCCAUCUGCCCUUCCCAUCUCAGUGUCUGCAGUGGAAGAUGUUCUUUAUAUGUUGCCUUCUACGAUUGAAAACUGGAUUCUGCUGGCAGCCCGGUGUGCGGAUUCCAGGAACACAGAACCUUGGAGGAGCUGGAAGAAGAAGAGAACGAGAGCAGGCCCCAGCUUGGUGUUUUCCUUCUCUGGAAUGCAGAGCUUUCCUGUGCUGAGCCGGGUCCCAGCAGUGGCCUGGGUUGAGGCCAAGUCAUCGUUACUGACUCCAGCAAGAGAGCAGAGCUGGAAAAGUACCGCGCAGAGAAAUUCCUGAAAUGGGAAUGGACGUUCAUGUUGGAGUGGCGGUUUCUGCCAGGAAGUUAAACUCUAGCAAAUGAAUGGAUUUUUCUAGGCUGCUGGCUUCCGUGCCUGAGAGAGCGGCAGACAUAAAAAUCGGCCAGUGUGUACAUGCUAUUUAGCGUGUUUGUUUUAUCUCUGAGUGGCCAGUAAUAAUGACAGAAUAAAGUUAAAGGAGCUUUGAGCCCA